CGUCGAUUGCGGAACAUGACUUCGCCUUGCCUUCCUCCUUGUUGUUCCCCUGCUGCCCGAAGGCGGAGGCCACAGGUUCGAAUCCUGUCGAGUGCGCCA
rnacentral:tRNA from 1 species